GAUGAACGCUGGCGGCGUGCCUAAUACAUGCCAGUCGAGCGAAGCGGGGACGGGUGCGUCACACGUGGAUAACCUCCUAUACGCCUGGGAUAACUUCGGGAACCCGGCGCUACACCCGAUGCUUAUAACUGGAUCCGCGCUGCAUUAGCUAGUUGGUAAGGUAACGGCUUACAAAGGCAACGAUGCAUAGCCGACCUGAUAGGGGGAUCGGCCACACUGGAACUGAGACACGGUCCAGACUCAUACGGGAGGCAGCAGUAGGGAAUCUUCCGCAAUGGGCGAAAGCCUGACGGAGCAACGCCGCGUGAGUGAUGAAGGUCUUCGGAUCGUAAAACUCUGUUAUUAGGGAAGCGGUACCUAAUCAGAAAGCCACGGCUAACUACGUGCCAGCAGCCGCGGUAAUAC
rnacentral:rRNA from 1 species